UAGGGUAUAGCCCAGUGGUAGAGUGUGUUCUUAGCAUGCACAGGGUCCUGGGUUCAAUCCCCAGUACCUUCA
rfam:Camelus ferus unplaced genomic scaffold scaffold1095, whole genome shotgun sequence.